rnacentral:rRNA from 1 species
UACAGAGGGUGCAAGCGUUAAUCGGAAUUACUGGGCGUAAAGCGCGCGUAGGUGGUUUGUUAAGUUGGAUGUGAAAUCCCCGGGCUCAACCUGGGAACUGCAUUCAAAACUGACAAGCUAGAGUAUGGUAGAGGGUGGUGGAAUUUCCUGUGUAGCGGUGAAAUGCGUAGAUAUAGGAAGGAACACCAGUGGCGAAGGCGACCACCUGGACUGAUACUGACACUGAGGUGCGAAAGCGUGGGGAGCGAACAGG